GCUUGCUACUUUGCCGGCGAGCGGCGGACGGGUGAGUAAUGUCUGGGAAACUGCCCGAUGGAGGGGGAUAACUACUGGAAACGGUAGCUAAUACCGCAUAACGUCUUCGGACCAAAGUGGGGGACCUUCGGGCCUCACACCAUCGGAUGUGCCCAGAUGGGAUUAGCUAGUAGGUGGGGUAAUGGCUCACCUAUGCGACGAUCCCUAGCUGGUCUGAGAGGAUGACCAGCCACACUGGAACUGAGACACGGUCCAGACUCCUACGGGAGGCAGCAGUGGGGAAUAUUGUACAAUGGGCGCAAGCCUGAUGCAGCCAUGCCGCGUGUGUGAAAAAAGCCUUCGGGUUGUAAAGCACUUUCACCGAGGAGGAAAGGUGGUGUGUUAAUAUCGCACCACAUUGACGUUACUCGCAGAAAAAA
rnacentral:rRNA from 1 species